CUGGGACCCGCGACCCCCGGAACCGCCCCCACCCCCUAAAGUGGGACCCGCGACCCCCGGAACCGCCCCCACCCCCGAACUGGGACCCGCGACCCCCGGAACCGCCCCCACCCCCCAGAGUGGGACCCGCGACCCCCGGAACCGCCCUCACCCCCCAAAGUGGGACCCGCGACCCCCGGAACCGCCCUCACCCCCCAAAGUGGGACCCGCGACCCCCGGAACCGCCCUCACCCCCCAAAGUGGGACCCGCGACCCCCGGAACCGCCCCCACCCCCUAAAGUGGGACCCGCGACCCCCGGAACCGCCCCCACCCCCCAGAGUGGGACCCGCGACCCCCGGAACCGCCCCCACCCCCUAAAGUGGGACCCGCGACCCCCGGAACCGCCCCCACCCCCCAAAGUGGGACCCGCGACCCCCGGAACCGCCCCCACCCCCCAAAGUGGGACCCGAGACCCCCGGACUGGGACCCGCGACCCCCGGAAUUCUCCCAGCCCCGAACUGGUCCCAGUAACCCCGAACUGGUCCCAGUAACCCCGGACUGGUCCCAGUAAGCCCGGACUGGUCCCAGCAUGCCGGACUGGUCCCGGCUCCGCGCCGGCCCCAGCGACCCCCGGAAUUCUCCCAGUGCCCCCCAGUAUCCCCCAGCACCCUCCCAGUGCCCCCUCUGACCCCUCCCAGUGCCCCCCAGUGCCCCCAGUCUCCCCCCCAGUGCCCCCGCAGCCCCCCAUGACCCGGGCCCGGUUUUUGGGGGGCUGUGCCUGGCUGCUGGGGGGGCUGGCCCUGCUGCAGACCCUCUACCUGCGCUCGCUGCCCGCCCCGCGCCCCCCGCCCCGCGCCCCCCGCCCCCCCCGGGGGGUCCUGGACGCCUCGGGCUCCUUCCGGGUCUACUGGGACGUGCUGGGCGCCCCCCCGGGCUGGGCCCGCGCCCCCCGCCCCGAGCUGGUCCUGGCCACCCACGGGACCCCCGGGCGGGCGGCGGCGGCGCUGGGGCGGGGGUCCUGGGGGGGGCCGCUGUCCCUGGCGGUUUUUGGGGAGCCCCGGGGGGGGCUCCGGGAGCUGCUGCGGCUCCUGGGGGGGCCCUGCCGGGGGCUGCGGGGGCGCCUGAGGCUGCAGGUGGUGCAGGGGGCGGCGGGACCCCCGCCCAGGGUGCCGCCCCCCCAGAAAGACCCCCGAGAGCCCCCCGGGGGGUGCCGGGGGGCUCUGGCCAGGCUGGCGGCCGCCGACCCCCCCAGUUACACUCUGGGGGUGCCGUACCCCGGGAACCUGCUGAGGAACGUGGCCUGGCAGGGGGCGGCCGGGGGGGGGCCCGGGGCGCGACCCCCGCCCCAAGCCGGGGGGCGUUUCGUGCUCAUGGUGGACGCGGACGUGGAGCCGAGCCCGGGGCUGCGCGAGGGGUUCCUGGAGCUGCUGCGGGGCGGGGGGCUGGACCCCCGGAACUGGGGCGGGGAGCCCCCAAACUGGGGGGGACAGGGGGGGAUGGACCCCCGAAAUGGGGGGGAACAGGACCCCAAAAACUGGGGGGCCCUGGGGGACCCCAGAGCUCCGGGGGCUUGGGGGGAUUUGGGGAGCCCCAAAACUUUGGGGGCUCCCGGUGGGCUGGGGGUCCCCAACUCCUCGGGGGUCCCCCAUGGCCUGAGUGACCCCGGUGUCCCCAACGCCCUGGGGGUCCCCAAGGUCCCGAAGAACCCCAAAAGUUCGUUGGGCCCCCAAGAGCCCAGGGGUCGCCAAGCCCCGAGUGACCCCAAUCCUCUGAGUGACCCCAGUGUCCUGAGUGACCCCAACGCCCUGAGUGACCCCAAUGCCCCGGGUGACCCCAACCCCUGGGGUGACCCCCACGCUCUCAGCGCCCCCCACCCCCCGGGCGGCCCCCCCUGGGCCCGCGCUCUCUUCGUGCUGCCGGCCUUCGAGCUGCGGGGGUCGCGCCGCCCCCCGGGCUCCAAGGCGGAGCUGCUGCGGCUCUGGGGGGCGGGGGUCGCCCGCCCCUUCUACGGGGGGCUCUGCCCCCGCUGCCAGGCCCCCACCGCCUUCGGCCGCUGGCGGGCGCUGCCCCCCGCCCCCCCGGGCCCCCCCCGGCUGCGCGUGGCCUACGAGGUGCCCUGGAGGGACCCCUGGGAGCCUUUCUUCGUGGCCCCCGCCCGCGGCGUGCCCCCCUUCGACGAGGGCUUCCUGCAGUACGGCUUCAACCGCAUCAGCCAGGCCUGCGAGCUGCACGUGGCCGGGUUCCGUUUCGCGGUGCUGGACGGGGCCUUCGUCACCCACCGGGGCUGGAAGGAGCCGGGCGGGUUCCACGGGGGGCGCGAGGCCGAGCUGGGCCGCAACCGCCAGCGCUACCGGGCCUUCAAGGAGGGGCUGAGAGUGAGGUACCCCAACUCCGACCGGCGCUGCUGAACACCUGGGACCGCUGGGGAUACACCUGAGCACGCCUGGGACAGCUGGGGACACCAGGGACAGCGCUGGGGAACCCCAGUGGACACCUUAGACACCGUGGAACCUCCCAAUGGACACCUGGGGACCCUCCAUGGACACCUGGAUGCCCCCUGGACAUGGGGGUGACUGUCCCUCAGUAAAUUUGGCCCCCUACCCAUGAUGCCUCUGUGUGGGUGAUGUCACGGGAGCGUGGCGAGCAGCUGCUGGUACGGACCAGUAAGGCCCAGUCCGGACCAGUAAGGCCCAGCGCACGAGGCGGAGACCCUGCCCGGGUUGUUUACCACAGCAAACUACAGCUCCCAGCAUGCAUCGGCUGCCGGCAUGGCCGAACUUCCGCCCCUACUUAAAAACCACAGCUCCCAGGAUGCCUCGGAAAUAACAUGGCCGCCAAGCUGCUUCCGGUUUUGCCUCUAAAUUUGAACUUCACUUCCCAUCAUGCAUCGGAAGGACAUGGCCGGAAGUGUUUGUCAUUUAUGGGACUCCAGCUCCCGUCAUGCAUCAGGGCAACAUGGCCGACUUCCGGUCCGCCAUUUCCUGACGGGGGAGGCGCAGCAGCGCCCCCUGGCGGGCGGGAGGCCCAAAGUGGGGCGGGGGGGGAAUCCCAAAUUUGGGAGUGGGAGGGGCCAAGGUGGGGGGAGGGGACCUGAAAUUCGAGCUGGGGGGAGGGGACAGGAUCCCAAAUGUUUUUGGGGGGGGUUGUGACCCCCCAAGUCCAGCGGGAGGAUCCGAUUUGAGCGAAAAACCCCAAAUUUGAGCCCAAAAAGCCCCAAAACGACCCAGAGUGCACCAAAGUCACGGUUAAUAAACAAAUUUUAUUUGCGUUUUCCA